AUUGAACGCUGGCGGCAGGCCUAACACAUGCAAGUCGAGCGGAGCGGCGGACGGGCGAGUAAUGCCUAGGAAUCUGCCUGGUAGUGGGGGAUAACGUCCGGAAACGGGCGCUAAUACCGCAUACUAUCAGAUGAGCCUAGGUCGGAUUAGCUAGUUGGUGGGGUAAAGGCCUACCAAGGCGACGAUCCGUAACUGGUCUGAGAGGAUGAUCAUUCAAACUAGAACUGAGACACGGUCCAGACUCCGACCAUGAACAUCAGUUUAAAAUAUUGGACAAUGGGCGAAAGCCUGAUCCAGCCAUGCCGCGUGUGUGAAGAAGGUCUUCGGAUUGUAAAGCACUUUAAGUUGGGAGGCGUUACCAACAGAAUAAGCACCGGCUAACUUCGUGCCAGCAGCCGCGGUAAUAC
rnacentral:rRNA from 1 species